rnacentral:lncRNA from 1 species
AUCAACCGCCUCUUUCUCUCUCUAUUCUUUUCCUUCACUGCUUCACACCGAAACCCUAGCCUCCGUGUUCCUUUGGCUUGAAGCUUCUACAUCUCAUUUUCUCUGAAAACAUACGCUUGUGCUUGAAUCGACUGAUAAGGGAGACACGCUUUGCCCUUUCCAAUUCCUGCUCUCAAACCCUACUGUCCGAAUACACAUCUUCCCCUUCACGUUUCCUGCCGAUCAAUCGAUUUAUCAAUCCUAUAAUAUACUAAUCUCAUCAAUGUUGAAAGCCAUCAUCAAUUUGGCGUAGAUGGGUAUUCAAGAAAAUAAAGGCAUAAGUGGGAGUUUGGGUUCGUUUCUUACUCGCAGAUGCUUUGGUUGUCUUAUGAGGGGCUACUUAGAAGGUUUUGGUGUGUGCUGCCUCCUUUAGAAGAAGAGGAUGUUCCUCAACUAUACCCAAAAGGGUCAAAUCUUGGUGAGUGAGCUUGAGAAACAGUUGAAAAUGGAGAUAAAAUCAAGAAACAGAGCCAGAGCCAGAGUCUAAAAGAUCUGUCUAAUGAGAAUAAGAGUUAGAAAGAAAGAUGGAGCUGGAGAUCUUUUAAAAAAGAAGAUGACAAUGGCUAGAUUUUAUGUAUUUUGGUUCCAGCGGAAUGAAAUGGUCAAGACCGGGUUCUCCGGGUUCGGAGGAACCCGACUUUGUAGUGGGGCUACUUCAACUUCAAAGAUGAAACAAGGGUUACUAAAUAAAGUUCAAUAAGCAAUCCCAAACACCCCUCUAAAAGUAACUUAUUUAGUUAAUGCUUAAAAGUCAAAUGUGGUCAUGAUUUGUUCUUUUGAUGUUUUCUUUUCGUAUAUGCUCAGGCAUGAUUUUACUUUCAACAACUUAUAUCAUGAGUUAGUUACUGUCAUUCAAUGUUAUACAAUCUUUUUGUUCAGUUUACUAUUCUACUAUUUCUUUGUUCAUAACAGUAUCGCCUCUAGCUCUAUUCUGCACCGAUUAUUGUGUUGCAGGAAAUUUGUCACGGAUAUCUUAAGCUUGAAAAUACACUGUUGGAAGUGCAGCUCCUCGUGUUAAAAAUACUUAAAAUAUGUGAUUUUGGGUAUUCAAAGUCAUCAGUUAGGCGUUCCCAAUCAAAGUCAGCUGCAACUUACAUUGCACUUGAAGUUCUUUCAAGAAAAGAAUAUGAUGGAAAUGUGGCUCCUUUGAGCUUUUAGUUAUUUACUAGACAUGCAAUUUAAUGUUAUUUCUUAUUUGAAUUACCAUACUUGACUCAUCCUAACACACACCAUUGUUCUUGUGGAAAAACGAUAAAUUAAAUCGUUAAAAAAUUAAAAGUUAAGUUUUCGACAUAUUUUGAUACUGCAUUUGUUGGAAAACCUUAUGGACU